UACGUAGGGUGCAAGCGUUGUCCGGAUUUAUUGGGCGUAAAGAGCGUGUAGGCGGCCAUACAGGUCAGCUGUGAAAACUCGAGGCUCAACCUCGAGACGUCGGUUGAAACCGUAUGGCUAGAGUCCGGAAGAGGAGAGUGGAAUUCCCGGUGAUAGCGGUGAAAUGCGCAGAUAUCAGGAGGAACACCGGUGGCGAAGGCGGUUCUCUGGGCAUUACCUGACGUGAGGAGCGAAAGUGUGGGGAGCGAACAGG
rnacentral:rRNA from 1 species